rnacentral:rRNA from 1 species
GACGAACGCUGGCGGCGUGCUUAACACAUGCAAGUCGAACGGAAAGGCCCUGCUUUUGUGGGGUGCUCGAGUGGCGAACGGGUGAGUAACACGUGAGUAACCUGCCCUUGACUUUGGGAUAACUUCAGGAAACUGGGGCUAAUACCGGAUAGGAGCUCCUGCUGCAUGGUGGGGGUUGGAAAGUUUCGGCGGUUGGGGAUGGACUCGCGGCUUAUCAGCUUGUUGGUGGGGUAGUGGCUUACCAAGGCUUUGACGGGUAGCCGGCCUGAGAGGGGGACCGGCCCCACUGCGAUGGAGCUACGGCCCAGACUCGUACGGGAGGCAGCGGUGGGGAGUAGUAUAUUAGGGGCGGGAGCCUGGUGUAGCAACGCCGCGUGGGGUAUGACGGGCUUGGGGUUGUAAACCGCCGUCGCCUUUGACGAGGCGUGAGUGACGGUAAUGGGUAAAGAAGCACCGGCUAACUACGUG